rnacentral:rRNA from 1 species
GAUGAACGCUGGCGGCGUGCCUAAUACAUGCAAGUCGAGCGAACGGACGAGAAGCUUGCUUCUCUGAUGUUAGCGGCGGACGGGUGAGUAACACGUGGAUAACCUACCUAUAAGACUGGGAUAACUUCGGGAAACCGGAGCUAAUACCGGAUAAUAUUUUGAACCGCAUGGUUCAAAAGUGAAAGACGGUCUUGCUGUCACUUAUAGAUGGAUCCGCGCUGCAUUAGCUAGUUGGUAAGGUAACGGCUUACCAAGGCAACGAUGCGUAGCCGACCUGAGAGGGUGAUCGGCCACACUGGAACUGAGACACGGUCCAGACUCCUACGGGAGGCAGCAGUAGGGAAUCUUCCGCAAUGGGCGAAAGCCUGACGGAGCAACGCCGCGUGAGUGAUGAAGGUCUUCGGAUCGUAAAGCUCUGUUAUUAGGGAAGAACAUAUGUGUAAGUAACUGUGCACAUCUUGACGGUACCUAAUCAGAAAGCCACGGCUAACUACGUGCCAGCAGCCGCGGUAAUACGUAGGUGGCAAGCGUUAUCCGGAAUUAUUGGGCGUAAAGCGCGCGUAGGCGGUUUUUUAAGUCUGAUGUGAAAGCCCACGGCUCAACCGUGGAGGGUCAUUGGAAACUGGAAAACUUGAGUGCAGAAGAGGAAAGUGGAAUUCCAUGUGUAGCGGUGAAAUGCGCAGAGAUAUGGAGGAACACCAGUGGCGAAGGCGACUUUCUGGUCUGUAACUGACGCUGAUGUGCGAAAGCGUGGGGAUCAAACAGGAUUAGAUACCCUGGUAGUCCACGCCGUAAACGAUGAGUGCUAAGUGUUAGGGGGUUUCCGCCCCUUAGUGCUGCAGCUAACGCAUUAAGCACUCCGCCUGGGGAGUACGACCGCAAGGUUGAAACUCAAAGGAAUUGACGGGGACCCGCACAAGCGGUGGAGCAUGUGGUUUAAUUCGAAGCAACGCGAAGAACCUUACCAAAUCUUGACAUCCUUUGACAACUCUAGAGAUAGAGCCUUCCCCUUCGGGGGACAAAGUGACAGGUGGUGCAUGGUUGUCGUCAGCUCGUGUCGUGAGAUGUUGGGUUAAGUCCCGCAACGAGCGCAACCCUUAAGCUUAGUUGCCAUCAUUAAGUUGGGCACUCUAAGUUGACUGCCGGUGACAAACCGGAGGAAGGUGGGGAUGACGUCAAAUCAUCAUGCCCUUUAUGUCCUGGGCUACACACGUGCUACAAUGGUUGGUACAGAGGGCAGCUAUAUAGUGAUAUAAUGCAAAACUCGAAAGCCAAUCCCAGUUCGGAUUGUAGGCUGCAACUCGCCUACAUGAAGUCGGAGUUGCUAGUAAUCGCGGAUCAGAAUGUCGCGGUGAAUGCGAUCCCGGGUCU